GAUGAACGCUGGCGGCGUGCCUAAUACAUGCAAGUCGAGCGAACGGACGAGAAGCUUGCUUCUUUGAUGUUAGCGGCGGACGGGUGAGUAACAUGUGGAUACCCUACCUAUAAGACUGGGAUAACUUCGGGAAACCGGCGCUAACACCGGAUGAUAUUUUGAACCGUAUGGUUCAUAAGUGAAAGACGGUCUUGCUGUCACUUCUCGAUGGAUCUGCGCUGCAUUAGCUAGUUGGUAAGGUAACGGCUUACCACGGCAACGAUGCAUAGCCGACCUGAGAGAGUGGUAGGCGACACGGGAACUGAGACGCGGUCCAGACGCCUACGGGAGGCAGCAGUAGGGAAUCGGCCGCAGUGGGCGAGAGCCUGACGGAGCGGCGGCGCGUGAGUGGUGGAGAUCUUCGGAUCGUAAAACUCUGUUAUGAGGGAAGAACAUAUGUGGAAGUAACUGUGCACAGCGUGACGGUACCUAAUCAGAAAGCCACGGCUAACUACGUG
rnacentral:rRNA from 1 species